GUUAACUAUCCGGGCUUGCUGCGGAAAAUACUCAUUAUAAUCACCACCUCUUUUCUGUAUAGCAUAAUUAGUGAGACUAUGAGCCAAAUAUUGAAUCCACUUUUCUACUAUAUUUAUUUUUAUAUUAGCAUUUCAUAUUAUUGCUAUUUUUGUUCGAAUUUGCGGUCAUUUUCUAUAGAGUAUUGGUCAUGUUAUACUAUACUAGUAAAAAAAGUUGGUAACUUGAGCCUUACAAACUAUUAUUAUUAUUAUUUGCUAACCCCUUUGAGCCUCCAUGCAAUAAUUUAUUUUGUUAUCACUAAGUGACAAAUCAUGUCAUAAGUUUUUAACCUUAAUGUCACCUAUUUGAUUUCUUUUGGAGUUGGAUAUAAUAUUUUUAAUAAAUUGGUAUGAUUUGAAAUUAAGUUUGAGUUUGCUCUUUGAAAUUAGCAAUAUUUUAAGUUUUUGGUGAGGUAUCAGUAGAACUUAUUUAUCAAAAAUGAAAAAAUGUAGAUAAAACCAUAUAAAAAUAUGGGUUUACACAAAAAAAAUAUAUAUAUAUAAUCAAGAGUCAAAAACAUCAAAAUUUUGGUCUCUUAAAAAAAAUGUAUUUAUCUUCAAAAAUGAAAGAUAAAGAGUUCUACUUAAUUAAUACCCACAUUGUUUUGGUUUAAGGAAGGAAAGUUUGAAAUGCUUCAAUAUUUAGUAGGAAUCUAUAUGUUGGAAAUCUAACUUCAAGUUGUGUUGUUAGCCUACUUUUUCAAAUAUAUCUCACCUUGUCUAAGCAAAUAUAUAACUCUAUUUAUGACAGAUUCAACUUGUGGCUUUUCAUUAUCUCUAGCAACUUGAGAAAGCAUAGUCCUUUCAAUGCUUCAACUGUCAAUGUCAAUGAGUCAAUGCUGACCUAUGAAGUACAUACGCUUCUCGGCUUAGACGUGCCCCAUGGUAAGAUAUGCGUGGUGUUCGACACCGACACAUAUUAUUACAUUGAAUUAUGUGAUUUUCUUAAAUUAUUAUUUAGGUCGGUAUGUCAGUGUCCGGUGUCCGUGUCUGUGCUUAAUAGAUGCUAACACAGAUGGUGAUAUGCAGGUUUUGGAUAGCAUGAAGGUUAAUGAUUACAUUUGGGAGUACCUUGAGUUUGGAGUGGUGAUGAAAGCAUAUAGUGUCUUUACAGAUGCAAGGUUUACUAAGAUCUCACCUGGAAAGUAAAUUAACUCAUCAUUCUUCAAGAAAUGUAGUGUUUCAAGACUAUCAAAUUUCUGAAUUGAUCUUAGUAAAUCUUGAUUGUAUUUCCAUUCUAUUUACAAACCAAUGCUUUGUUCUAUACAAGUUCAGUUCAGUAACACCGCUUGAUAUAUUCAAAGACUCAAAUGAUUGUUUACUCAUUAUGUAUUUACAUAUCUUGAAAUAUAAAUAAAUACCAAAUAAAACUAAUAAGAGUUUUGUCAUGAGGUGUCUAUACAAAGCAUUAUAGUAAAAUAGUUCAUUAAAGACAAGUUUAGAGACACAUCUUUAUCAGUGCAGGGUAGUGUGUACCUGAUAAAUGGAGUCAUCCGCCGAUUAAUGGUGCACCCUAUACGGAGGACCCUGCGAAACAUGUAUAGGCCCCAUAACAUCGACCACCACGUCCACCAUAUCCUACUUUCCUACUUUCUAUUUCAAUACGCUGAACAUGGGCUAUUUUUAACCAGUCCUCGCCUAUUUCCUUUUGGCAUCGCUUCUCUAUUUGAGGGCAGCAUUGAAUACACAAUCUUUUUAGACUGCUAAGAUAUCGGAUGCUCGCCGGAAGACAGCUCAAAUUAGGACACACAAGAAUAAUUAAUUCCUGAAGUAAGGAAAGGUUUCCCAAACAGUCAGGCAAAUAUUCUAGUUUUGGAAGUUCAGACAAUAUUAUGCAUUGCAGAGAAGUCAUAUGUUGCAAAGCCUCGUGCAAACUUUCUACUUCCGGACAACUAGCAAUCACCAAUGUCUCUAGACAAGUUAGGUAUUGAAAACCUUCUGACAGAUUAAACUUGUGGCACUUCACUAUCUCUAGCAACUUGAGAGAGGAUAGUCCUUUCAAUACUUCAUCUGUCAAUGACUCAAUAGUGACACAGUUGGUAAUAUACAGGUGUUGGAGAGAAUGAAGGUCAAUGAUUUCAUUUGGGAGUACCUCGAGUUUGGAGUGGUGAUGAAAGCCUAAUGUCCUUACAGAUGCAAGGUUUAGUAAGAUCUCAUCUGGAAAGUAAGUUAACUCAUCAUUCUUCAAAAAAUGCAGCGUUUCAA
rnacentral:lncRNA from 1 species